rnacentral:rRNA from 1 species
CCUACGGGGGGCAGCAGUGAGGAAUAUUGGUCAAUGGCCGCAGGGCUGAACCAGCCAAGUCGCGUGAGGGAUGACGGUCCUAUGGAUUGUAAACCUCUUUUGUCAGGGAGCAAAGGGCGCCACGUGUGGCGCUUUGCGAGUACCUGAAGAAAAAGCAUCGGCUAACUCCGUGCCAGCAGCCGCGGUAAUACGGAGGGUGCGAGCGUUAAUCGGAAUUACUGGGCGUAAAGCGCUCGUAGGCGGUAUGUCAAGUCAAGGGUGAAAUCCCCGCGCUCAACGUGGGAACUGCCUUUGAAACUGGCAAACUGGAGUGUGUGAGAGGAUAGUGGAAUUCCAGGUGUAGGAGUGAAAUCCGUAGAUAUCUGGAGGAACAUCAGUGGCGAAGGCGACUAUCUGGCACAUAACUGACGCUGAGGAGCGAAAGCGUGGGUAGCAAACAGGAUUAGAUACCCCUGUAGUC